rnacentral:misc_RNA from 1 species
CGAUAACGUGAUGCGCAAGGCACGGGCCUUCCCGAACGAAACCUGGGACAAGAAGUUGCUCGAAGCGGAAGAAAAAGACCCGAACCGUUGGCGCCACACGGGCUUCAAGAAGAUGUACAUCGAAGAGGACGCCAGCAGUUCCGAUUCCGAUGCCGGCCCCCAACGGCCACCUCCCGGCCGGUAUGGCAAUGGCGGCGGUGGAGGUCCCCCAGGACGUCGCAGCCGCAGCCGAUCCCGUUCCCCAAUGAUGCGCCAUCGGCGCAGCCCCUCACCGCUGCGUAAGCGACGCGUCCCGGUUUCGCCCUCUCCGCCACCGAUGCGCCGUCGACCAUCGCCAUCGCCACCUCCGGAGCGGAGACCGCCUCCCCCGAGGCCAAUGCGUCGGCCGUCGCCGCCGGAAUUUCGUCGCAAGUCCCCCGGGGGACACCCGAUGGGAUCGCCACCACCACCUGGGCGCGGUCGCGGUCGAAUGUCUCCGUUGCCACCACCGAGGGGACGCCCGAAGCGGCCACCAUCGCCGCCGCCGAAGAUGAACCGCUCCCCGUCCGUGAGUAGCUGCUCCGAGGAGUCCUGUUCCGGUUGCUCGCUGGACGAACGCCACCGUCGUCAUUCCCGUUCCCGUUCGUUGUCCGGUCCGCCGCCGCCGUCGCGAGCACGCGUCCGUGGGGCAUCGCCGCCGCCCCCUGCCCACCUCGGGAAAAUCCGCCGCCCGAUGAGUCCGCCGCCGACGGAUCCGCGCCGCAAGGAACCGCUGCCGAAGGUUCACCGCGUCGAUAAGGAUCCCCGCGAUCGGCCAUCGCGUCCAAUUCCGCCGCCACCACAGCCGGAGCGCAUCCGGCGGCCGCAGACUCCCGAAAUGGACAAGGCCCCGCCGGUGAAGGUUCGCGUCCCGAAGCACAAAGUCGUACCGGAAGAUCCCCGGCCGGCGAAGGUUCGCGCGCCCAAGCCGGCCCCACCGGAAGCGGCAGCAUCCGCGCCGGUGGCCGCCACCAGCAAGAAGCACAAGGAAAAGGUCGUCGAGAAGCAGCUGCGAGCGCGCGUCAAGAUCGAGGGAGAGCCCAAGCCCGUGCGCCGGCCCCGAUCGCCGUCGUCCGGUUCGGAAGACUCGUCCAGCAGCGAAAGCUCCCUGCCCCGGUUCACCGCGACCACUCGGCUGACCCUGUCGGAACGGUUCGGCAAGAUGGCCCAGUGGAGCGUCGAUCGGAGCAACAUGGAGAACAUGCGCAUCACCAAGAACAGCUCCGGCGGUGACUUGAAGGUGAUGAUCGAGGAAGAAAUGGAGGCGCCGCCGCCGGUUCGGUUCACCUACUCUCCGGCGCCCGCCGGGCACUUCCCCGAGGAACUGAUGACCACCGGACCGACCGGGCUGUCCUCGUGGGAUGACGUCCGCGUGCGGUACGAGUAUUACAAGGGCCGAGGCUACCUGCGGGAUCUGGAUCUGGAGGACUACGUCAAGUGGGAGGAGUGGUGGUACAAGUACCAGGAGUGGCUCAAGCAGGAACGCUACUACGAGAUGUGGGAACGGUCCCGGAUGAACCGUCACCGCAAGAAAGUGCCCAUCGCACAGCGGUUGAACUAAAUCUUGAAUGUUUCUCACCCAUCUCUUCCCGUUUAGAAGCAGACAGAAAAAAAACAUUGCCUAUUCCUAUAGCGUUAACACAAACUAAGCCCCUGAAAUGUGUAAGUUGCGUCGCAAACCCCUCAAACGAACGGAACAGUUCGUUCUCGGUUCUCCAGCCGAGUCGGGAAAAGGGCGCAAUUUUAGAAAUGUUUUAAGUCGAGAUUAAACAAAAAAAAGUAAAGAAAAAAACACUAAUAUAGUAACUUAUAUUCUGUAAAUGUUUUCCAUGUGCAUUAUACAAACCUUGUCGGGCGGAAUGCGGCGGAGAUCGGUUCUCGUGGGAGACCAAUUCUUCAGCGCGUCAUCCAACAGUCGACGAAAUACAUACUUAUGAAACCUUGAUUAGUAAAAUAAAGUAAAUGUUUCAUCAAUUGAAA